ACGAAGUAAACCCUACUGCUCACUUUUUCCUUUCUCACCGAAGAACGCACCAGGAUAUCUGCAGUUGAUUACCUCUCCCACUUCAGUUAUCAAUCUUUCAUUGUUAUCGCGAGACAAAUCAUGAGUGACGAAGGAUCACAUAGAGAUACCCUUAGAAUUUUCCUUGAAAAAUAAAGUUAAUAUGGGUGGAAAUAUUGAGGUAGAUGAUGUUGUAGGAGGAAGGCUCCCUUUUAAAGUCUUCUAUGGAAACAAGGGGGAUUUGAUAUGGGAUUCUGUGAGUGUUUUUAGAAAACUGUGUGAAAUGAAAAAGAAUCACCUAUGUGAUUUCUUUUAUAUGGGAGGAAACAAGUUUCAUGUCACCUUAUUAGAACUGAAUUGUAAUUUCAUAAGGCAUGCUGAGUCCUCCAAGUCUGUUAAGAAGUCUGAUCCAGUUGACAAAGGGAAAGUUGUUGCUGAUGAAAGAAGCUUUCCAAUCUAUAUUAGUAGUGAUUUAUCUUUGCCUGAUAAUUCUGUCCAAGAUGCUGCUUCGACCCGAGUGGAUCAUCAUGUUGUUAGAAGUGUCAUGUCCCAGUUGCAGAUGGUAUAUUCGUUCUAUUCAAGAAUUUGACAAAGUUUUUAACAAAUCUAUGAUUUCUGGCUCCCAGACUCUGGCCUCACUGGAAGUUCUUACAGUUGAAGGAAAAUGGUAUUCAAGCGAGCUGAAGAGGAGGAAUGGAGAUCCCAACCAUGUUGAGUGUAACAUUGGGACAGGUUGAUAUCGUUUUGUUAAAGGUAGUAAAUUGUGAAUUGGUGAUACAGUCCACUUUAGGCCUGAUAGUACUCAGAACAAUAUCGUCUAUGUUACUAUUUUCGUAAAGGGAGGAAAUCCUAAGAUAGUUUCUAUAACAGUUGGUUUUUUUUGUUUUUAAAGAAUCUUUGUAGUACCAAUUUGAAUUCCUGUUUUUUAACUCUGUACCAGUAUCUUUCUUUGUCAUCUUUAAGACCUUUGUGGUCAGGAUUUAUCU